AUGAAACAGAUAAGAACUACCGUAUUUUCCGGACUAUAAGGCGCACUUUGUCAUAACGGGGGUUUUCGCAGCUUACUGCGAGGUUUGUUCUCCUAGGAAGCAAACAGAAUAUUCUUGAUAGGACUUGAAGAAGAGGUCCUGUACCAUGGGAACAGAAGGGUCAUUUGGACAGAGGAGGAGAAAGUGGCUGUGUUAACCGAAGCCCAUGCAGGCCAUUUUGGACCACGGAGGAUGCAAGCGAAGAUUGCUCCCCGGUUUUAUUGGCGGUCCAUCACAAAGGACACAUUGGAUUGGGUGCGCACAUGUCCUCACUGCCAGCGCUUUGAAAAAUGAAA